rnacentral:sRNA from 1 species
AUCAUCUGCUUUCAUAAAAUGGACCUGUUUACUCAAAAUAUUCGACCGUGUCGGUUGAAGCUGACCUUACUCCCAGGUGCGAACCAAUAAUGUAAAAAAAACAUGUACUUCAUCCUAUUUCUGCAAAGUAGUUUGAUGUAUUUCUCCAAUUCUUUUCCCAUUUGCUGUGGCGUCAGUCGUUGGGAUGUCAUCUUUCUUUUCAUUUUCUGGUGAUUACACAUUUUUGGCCCUUCCAUAAAUAACACGGAUAAGCCAGUGUAAUAGGGAUUAAUUAAUUAAUUAAUUAUGAACCAACUUUGGAG